AGUGAACGCUGGCGGCAGGCCUAACACAUGCAAGUCGAACGGAAGAACAGUGCUUGCUCGUGGUUUCAGCGGGCGACUGGCGAGUGAGUCCUGUGAAUCUCCCUAUCUUCUUUUUAGAACGGCCUAAAGCAGGCGCUCAUACCGCAUACCCGCUGACGACGAAAGUGGGGGAGCUUCGGAUCUCACGCUCUCUGGUGAGCGUAGGUCGGGUUAGCUAGUUAGUGGGUUGAAGGGCUACCAGGCCGACGAUCCGUAACUGGUCUGAGAGGAUGAUCAGUCACACUGGAACUGAGACACGGUCCAGACUCCUACGGGAGGCAGCAGUGGGGAAUAUUGGACAAUGGGGGAAAGCCUGAUACAGCCAUACCGCGUGUGUGAAGAAGGCCUUCGGAUUGUAAAGCCCUUUAGGUGGGGAGGAAGGGCAGUAGGUUAAUACCCUGCUGUUUUGACGUUACCGAGAGAAUAAGCACCGGCUAACUUCGUG
rnacentral:rRNA from 1 species